GAUGAACGCUGGCGGCGUGCCUAAUACAUGCAAGUCGAGCGAAUGGAUUAAGAGCUUGCUCUUAUGAAGUUAGCGGCGGACGGGUGAAUAACACGUGGGUAACCUGCCCAUAAGACUGGGAUAACUCCGGGAAACCGGGGCUAAUACCGGAUAACAUUUUGAACCGCAUGGUUCGAAAUUGAAAGGCGGCUUCGGCUGUCACUUAUGGAUGGACCCGGGUCGCAUUAGCUAGUUGGGGAGGUAACGGCUCACCAAGGCAACGAUGCGUAGCCGACCUGAGAGGGUGAUCGGCCACACUGGGACUGAGACACGGCCCAGACUCCUACGGGAGGCAGCAGUAGGGAAUCUUCCGCAAUGGACGAAGGUCUGACGGAGCAACGCCGCGUGAGUGAUGAAGGCUUUCGGGUCGUAAAACUCUGUUGUUAGGGAAGAACAAGUGCUAGUUGAAUAAGCUGGCACCUUGACGGUACCUAACCAGAAAGCCACGGCUAACUACGUGCCAGCAGCCGCCGUAA
rnacentral:rRNA from 1 species